CGGGGAGGUAGUGACGAAAAAUAACGAUACGGGACUCAUCCGAGGCCCCGUAAUCGGAAUGAGUACACUUUAAAUCCUUUAACCAGGAUCCAUUGGAGGGCAAGUCUGGUGCCAGCAGCCGCGGUAAUUCCAGCUCCAAUAGCGUAUAUUAAAGUUGUUGCGGUUAAAAAGCUCGUAGUUGAAUCUGUGUGCCACGCUGUCGGUUCACCGCUCGCGGUGUUUAACUGGCAUGAUUGUGGGACGUCCUACCGGUGGAUUUAGCUAUAUCAUGUAUGGCGGUCCAACUAAUAUCCCAUCGCGGUGCUCUUCACCGAGUGUCGAGGUGGGCCGGUACGUUUACUUUGAACAAAUUAGAGUGCUUAAAGCAGGCUUAUUUCGCCUGAAUAUUGUGUGCAUGGAAUAAUGGAAUAGGACCUCGGUUCUAUUUUGUUGGUUUUCGGAACCCCGAGGUAAUGAUUAAUAGGGACAGAUGGGGGCAUUCGUAUUGCGACGUUAGAGGUGAAAUUCUUGGAUCGUCGCAAGACGAACAGAAGCGAAAGCAUUUGCCAAAAAUGUUUUCAUUAAUCAAGAACGAAAGUUAGAGGUUCGAAGGCGAUCAGAUACCGCCCUAGUUCUAACCAUAAACGAUGCCAGCUAGCGAUCCGCCGAAGUUCCUCCGAUGACUCGGCGGGCAGCUUCCGGGAAACCAAAGCUUUUGGGUUCCGGGGGAAGUAUGGUUGCAAAGCUGAAACUUAAAGGAAUUGACGGAAGGGCACCACCAGGAGUGGAGCCUGCGGCUUAAUUUGACUC
rnacentral:rRNA from 1 species